GACUAAUGUGGCUCUCACACCACAGGCGAUGACAGCGGGAUAGCGGCUGAGAGGGCACGGCCACAUUGACUUGAAACACGGCCAGAAUCUACCGAAGCAGCAGUGGGGAAUAAUUGGGCAAUGGAGGAAACUCGACCAGCGGACGCCGCGUGAGGGAUUGAAGCUUCGGGUGUAAACCUUCUUUCAGCAGGGAAUAAGCGAAAGUUGAAAGGUACUGCAGAAGAAAGCACCGGCUAACUAUGUGGCCAGCAGCCGCGGUAAUACAUAGGGUGCAAGCGUGUCCCGGAAUUAUUGGGCGUAAAGAGCUCGUAGGUGGUCGAUCACGUCGGAUGUGAAAUUCUGAGGCUUAACCUCGGACCUGCAUUCGAUACGGGUUGACUAGAGUGUGGUAGGGGAGACUGGAAUUCCUGGUGUAGCGGUGGAAUGCGCAGAUAUCAGGAGGAACACCGAUGGCGAAGGCAGGUCUCUGGGCCAUUACUGACACUGAGGAGCGAAAGCGUGGGGAGCGAACAGGAUUAGAUACCCUGGUAGUCCACGCCGUAAACGGUGGGCGCUAGUUGUGGGAACCUUCCACGGUUUCUGCGACGCAGCUAACGCAUUAAGCGCCCCGCCUGGGGAGUACGGUCGCAAGACUAAAACUCAAAGAAAUUGACGGGGACCCGCACAAGCGGUGGAUGAUGUGGAUUAAUUCGAUGCAACGCGAAAAACCUUACCUACCCUUGACAUGUCACUAACGAAGUAGAGAUACAUUAGGUGCUCGUAAGAGAAAGUGAACACAGGUGCUGCAUGGCUGUCGUCAGCUCGUGUCGUGAGAUGUUGGGUUAAGUCCCGCAACGAGCGCAACCCUUGUCUUUAGUUGCUACGCAAGAGCACUCUAAAGAGACUGCCGGUGACAAACCGGAGGAAGGUGGGGAUGACGUCAAGUCCUCAUGGCCCUUAUGGGUAGGGCUUCACACGUCAUACAAUGGUGCAUACAGAGGGUUGCCAACCCGCGAGGGGGAGCUAAUCUCAGAAAAUGCAUCGUAGUCCGGAUCGUAGUCUGCAACUCGACUACGUGAAGCUGGAAUCGCUAGUAAUCGCGGAUCAGAAUGUCGCGGUGAAUACGUUCCCGGGUCUUGUACACACCGCCCGUCAUACCAUGGGAGUGGGUUUUGCCAGAAGCCGUUAGCCUAACCGCAAGGGGGGCGACUGCCACGGCAGGGUUCAUGACUGGGGUAAAGUCGUAACAAGGUAACCA
rnacentral:rRNA from 1 species